UACAGAGGUCUCAAGCGUUGUUCGGAUUCAUUGGGCGUAAAGGGUGCGUAGGCGGCGCGGUAAGUCGGGUGUGAAAUUUCGGAGCUUAACUCCGAAACUGCAUUCGAUACUGCGGUGCUUGAGGACUGGAGAGGAGACUGGAAUUUACGGUGUAGCAGUGAAAUGCGUAGAGAUCGUAAGGAAGACCAGUGGCGAAGGCGGGUCUCUGGACAGUUCCUGACACUGAGGCACGAAGGUCAGGGGAGCAAACGGG
rnacentral:rRNA from 1 species